rnacentral:rRNA from 1 species
UCCUACGGGAGGCAGCAGUGGGGAAUUUUCCGCAAUGGGCGAAAGCCUGACGGAGCAAUACCGCGUGAGGGAAGACGGCCUAUGGGUUGUAAACCUCUUUUUUCAGGGAGGAAUUCAAUGACGUGUACCUGAAGAAUAAGCAUCGGCUAACUCCGUGCCAGCAGCCGCGGUAAU